AAAUUGAAGAGUUUGAUCAUGGCUCAGAUUGAACGCUGGCGGCAGGCCUAACACAUGCAAGUCGAACGGUAACAGGAAGCAGCUUGCUGCUUUGCUGACGAGUGGCGGACGGGUGAGUAAUGUCUGGGAAACUGCCUGAUGGAGGGGGAUAACUACUGGAAACGGUGGCUAAUACCGCAUAACGUCGCAAGACCAAAGAGGGGGACCUUCGGGCCUCUUGCCAUCAGAUGUGCCCAGAUGGGAUUAGCUUGUUGGUGAGGUAACGGCUCACCAAGGCGACGAUCCCUAGCUGGUCUGAGAGGAUGACCAGCCACACUGGAACUGAGACACGGUCCAGACUCCUACGGGAGGCAGCAGUGGGGAAUAUUGCACAAUGGGCGCAAGCCUGAUGCAGCCAUGCCACGUGUAUGAAGAAGGCCUUCGGGUUGUAAAGUACUUUCAGCGGGGAGGAAGGUGUUG
rnacentral:rRNA from 1 species